rnacentral:lncRNA from 1 species
UUAUCGGUCAUGGAGCCAUGGAAUGGUUGGGUUGGGUUGGAAGGGACCUCAUAGGUCAGAGGGACGUAAAAUGGUUGGGUUGAGUGGGAAGGGAUCUUAUAGGUCGACCUUACGGAUUGCAGAGCCAUGGGUUGGGUUGGAAGGGACCUCAUAGAUCACAGAGCUGUAGAGUGGUUGGGUUGGAAGGGACUGUGUGGGUCGCUGAACAGUAGUGUGGUUGGGUUGGGUGGGAUUGGAAGGGUCCUUAUGGAUCCCAGAGCCACCAAAUGGUUGGGUUGGAAAGGGUCUUAAUUGAUCACGGAGGCAUAGAAUGGUUGGGUUGGGUUGGAAGGGGCCUCACAGAUCAUAGAGUCAUAGAGUGGUUGGGUUGGAAAAGACUUUGUAGAUCACAGAGCAUAGAAUGGUUGGGUUGGGUUGGAAGGGGCCUCACAGAUCAUAGAGUCAUAGAGUGGUUGGGUUGGAAAAGACUUUGUAGAUCACAGAGCUGUAGAGUGGUUGGGUUGGAAGGGAUCUUAUCGGUCAUGGAGCCAUGGAAUGGUUGGGUUGGGUUGGAAGGGACCUCAUAGAUCA